ACACUCGCACCCUUCAGAAAUUACCUAGUUACAACUCCCAAACCCAAUGUGAACGUUACCAAACUGUUGCCUCGGCGGGGUCACGCCCCGGGUGCGUCGCAGCCCCGGAACCAGGCGCCCGCCGGAGGAACCAACCAAACUCUUUCUGUAGUCCCCUCGCGGACGUAUUUCUUUACAGCUCUGAGCAAAAAUUCAAAAUGAAUCAAAACUUUCAACAACGGAUCUCUUGGUUCUGGCAUCGAUGAAGAACGCAGCGAAAUGCGAUAAGUAAUGUGAAUUGCAGAAUUCAGUGAAUCAUCGAAUCUUUGAACGCACAUUGCGCCCGCCAGUAUUCUGGCGGGCAUGCCUGUCCGAGCGUCAUUUCAACCCUCGAACCCCUCCGGGGGAUCGGCGUUGGGGAUCGGGGCCCCUCACACGGGUGCCGGCCCCUAAAUACAGUGGCGGUCUCGCCGCAGCCUCUCCUGCGCAGUAGUUUGCACAACUCGCACCGGGAGCGCGGCGCGUCCACGUCCGUAAAACACCCAACUUUCUGAAAUGUUGACCUCGGAUCAGGUAGGAAUACCCGCUGAACUUAAGCAUAUCAAUAAACGGAGGAA
rnacentral:rRNA from 1 species